GAUCGAAAUACUCACAGAACUAAAGCACAGGAUCCCAUCAGAACUCCGCAAUUAAGCAUGCUUGGGCGAGAGUAAUACUAGGAUGGGUGACCUCCUGGGAAGUCCUCGUGUUGCAUGUG
rnacentral:rRNA from 1 species